GACACUUUUACAAAUGGGAGUGGACUAUACCUUAAGCCUUCGUAUUUCGAAGACCGAUAGUAACGUAGUCUCUGAAGCUCAUUGAGCCUGCGAAUUAUCCAAUACAUGCCAAAUUAUUACUUGUAAAGUAUUGACAUUUUGAGGAUGUUCCCGCAAAUCACUAUCUUGCCAUUAUAAAAAUGACUAACAUAUAUAUAUGUUUUUGCCAGCCUGUGUUUUAUUAACUGACACUUGCAUGCCGAACGUAUUAAGCUUCGGAU
rnacentral:autocatalytically_spliced_intron from 1 species